ACAAAGUGGUGGAGUGAGCUAGAGAAAGAACAGAGAGAGAGAGAGCGGUGCUAACGUUACAUAAAACAAAGUGAGUUCCCUGUACAGGGAGCAACCGGUCAUAUCUUAUAACUCGCUGUGCUUCGACUCCAUUUUUUCUUGUUGUUAUGGAAACGACAGGUCUGGCAAGUCCGCUUGUCAUUGGCUGACUCCACAUAGG